rnacentral:lncRNA from 1 species
UUGGUCAUUCUAUUCAGAUGUCAGAAGGACCCAUGGGAAGACUCAGAGAGAAAGGUCUGUAGGAAGAGGCUAAGGAGCCCAAUCUUCUCCCAGAAAAUGGACGCUUCGGGUGGUCAUGAAUUGUAGGGCUAUUGGUACUGGGGUGAGUAAAGAGGAAGAGAAAGAGAGCAAGGCCCCAAGGAGAAGGGGAAACAGGGAGGGAGGAAGGGGCCAUGCCCUGUCCUCCCCUCCUCCAGUGUCCCUGCCCCUCUCCAACUUCAGAAUUCCCAUUGCUCCUUGAGAACUCAGACACUAGCUUCCCCACCAAGGCCUCCUCCCUCUGCAUUCCCCCAGCCUGUCCAUUCUCGGUCACACUGACUCCGAGUCUGGUCAGCUGCCUGUAUGCCUGUCUCACCCAGUUAACUUAAAUUCCUUGGGGUCAGGAACAAUGCUUUCUUCUUAUUUUCCAUGCCACAGCUCCAGUUACUGUGACUGACACACAGAAAUAUUGGCUUGGAGUCGAUUAUCUCAGGGAUGCAGCUCAAAAUGAUGAAUUAGAGCGGUUGUUAUCGAAUCUGCCACCAGAGGGCGAUCCAGGCUGAAGGUGACAUUACACUUAGAGGGAUCCACAGAUUCAAGAGGCUGCUUGGGGAGGGCAGCACAGUGAAGUACAAGGACUUUGACAUCAGAGAGGCCUGGAUUCAAGUCCCAAUUUCUGUGUGUGGUAACCAGUCUGCAAGACAGCCUGUGAUGAUCUCUCUCUCUGCGGAAGCCAGCCACCGCUCUCCAAGGACUCUCGAGCAGCUCCAUCUACAGAUUCACAUGGAGAAGAAUUAAGGGUUCCUGCCAAUCACCAGCACCACUUUGCCAGCCUUGUAAGUGGGCCACCUUGGAAUUGGAGCCUCCAGUUCCUACUGACAUCUGACUGCAACAUCAUGAGAGACCCUGAGUUUGAACCACCCAGCUGAGCUGCUUCUGAGCUAACCCACUGAAACCGUGAAAGUACCUGAAUGAAACAACACCCAGUAGCCACUAGCACACCUAGCUCCCAGAUCUGUUUUUGAUGCCAUUCUUCAGUAAAAGGAAGCAAGGCUGCUUGGAGAAAUUGCUAUCAAGGACUGGGGUAGAAAAUAUACAAGAUGAAAUUGGAGCAUCUUGUAGUGCUUGAAAACAGUUGGCAUCUGUGUGAAGAUGUGAAUGGAGGAGGCAGAGUAGGCAGUGAGUGCCGCAGCCACAGCUUGUGUUCUCUGCAGCCCUGGCACAGAAGAUAGGAACACUCAUGGGGGAUGCGGCCACUGUGAUGUCUUCCCACACAAGAAGUGCCAAGUGCUUUUCUCAUGCUUUUCUGGAUUGUCCCAUGGUGGACGAGUCAGCAGGAGUGAGAUGGAGCAGCACAGUAGAGGGGCCAGGAUAUCGUUGUACAUAUUCUCAGCUAAGUGAGCACCAAUAGAGGAGAGGGAGAGUCUCAUGGAAGUUCCUUCUAAGCCUUUGGCUCUUUUUACCUUCAACAAGGUGUGCCACCUCUUUGAUCCAGCAAGUGGGAAGAACAGUCCCGGCCUCUUUGCACACAAGACCGUGAUACCAAUGCACCAUCACAGGCCCCACAGGGGAGCUGUCCGCUUCCCCACACAGCUGCUAGGGGCUCUUUUGCAUGUUCCCAACCUUUCCUGCCUUUAUCUGAUAUUCGUUCCUUAGAUCCUGGGAUGAGGAGGUGGACCAGCAGAAGGUGGGCUUGUGAAGGCAGCCCGGGGUCCAAAUCCUCCUGGCUCUUCAGCUUAGCGGGUUAGUUAACAUUCAGAAGCCUUCAUCUCCCAUCUGCAAAAUGGGCAUGUCCAACUCAGAAGCUGCCUUGAAGAAAGGGUCUACCCAGCAUGGUGCGUGGAGCCUAAGCAGUCAGUACUUCAGGACUUCACCCGGCCCCUUUCCAAUAACUGCUGCUGUCGCCCUCACAGGAUGUCACCUUCAGCGUCUGAAAGCUGGGUUUGAUGCGUCUGGAAAGGCGUCCCUGACAGGCGUCGUUGCCAGGAGCCCCUAGUGCCACCAGCAGCCAGCAGGGGAGGGCGUCCUCUGCCCGCUCACUUCUGACCCUUCUCUCGUUGCACCCGGAACAUGGUGCAGCUGGGAGCAGCCUGGGCUGCGCGGAAGGCUCAGAUUUGGGGACGGCCCUUGCCAGUGACUGUGAGCUGGGGUGUCUUGGAAACUCCCAGUCUCAGCUUCUCCAUUUAUAAGAUGAGAAUGAUCAUACCAGACUCAGGCAAGGUUGUUUGUGCAUUAGUGAAAUCAGACGUAUUAAAUAAAGUACCACAUUGAUCGUGGAGUUGUUGAAUAACCAAGAACACGCCUA